rnacentral:rRNA from 1 species
CUGGCGGCGUGCCUAAUACAUAGCAAGUCGAACGGUCUUUCUAUGGAAGCUUGCUUCCACUGAGAAGAUAGUGGCGAACGGGUGAGUAACACGUGGGUAACCUGCCCAUAAGAGGGGGAUAACAUCCGGAAACGGGUGCUAAUACCGCAUAGUUUUCUUGAUCGCAUGAUCGGGAAAGGAAAGACGGCCUUUGUGCUGUCGCUUAUGGAUGGACCCGCGGCGUAUUAGUUAGUUGGUGAGGUAACGGCUCACCAAGACGAUGAUACGUAGCCGACCUGAGAGGGUGAUCGGCCACAUUGGGACUGAGACACGGCCCAAACUCCUACGGGAGGCAGCAGUAGGGAAUCUUCCGCAAUGGACGAAAGUCUGACGGAGCAACGCCGCGUGAGUGAAGAAAGGGUUUUCGGAUCGUAAAACUCUGUUGUCAGAGAAGAACAAGUUGGAGAGUAACUGCUCCAGCCUUGACGGUAUCUGACCAGAAAGCCACGGCUAACUACGUGCCAGCCGCAGC